GUCCCGCCUGCCCCCCGGCGGUGCCGCUGCCCGCGCUGGCUCAGCCUGGGGCCGCGGUUCCCCGGUUCUGGAGUUCGCUGGCGCAGGUCCGUUCCCGAGCCCGGGCGUUAGUCAAGACGAGCCCUUGCCUCCCCUCCAUCCCUCCGGUGUCCCUUGGCAGCUCCUGACCAGCACUGCAGACCGGGUCUCUGCCUCAGUCUCUGGGCCCCUGUUAGGAGAAUCUCAUUCCCCAACUGUUGUACCAAUUAGUCUUUAUAGUAUGAAAUUGUAUAAAGUAUCUUAAUAGUCUGAAAUCAUAUAUUUCAUAAGAGGAGUGUGUUUUACUUCGUAUACUGCAUAGUCAUGGCUAAGUCAGCAUAUCUAAAGGGCCCCAGCUCACUGCAAGGAGGACGGUCCCCACCUUAAAGAAACAGUCAUGUUCUUGGAAUCUUAAAGUCAUCCACAAAGAAGAAGGGAUACUCCUAGACUACUAAGGAACUGGACAUUGUCUGGAAAGAGAAUGAAGCAUGUUCCAGGUAAACCAGAAAACAGCACUGCCUCGAGAGCAACUUAUGUAUGUCCCUAGGAACAGCCGGAGAACUGCAGUCUUAAGUUUCAAACUGCUGCCAAAAUCUAGAUGCUCACACUUGAAAAUGUUUGCAUGUGUGUCCAGCAGGGUGAGGGUAAGUGUCCUUUCAUGUGUAUUGGCCCAUGUUCUUUUGGCUGUAGCUAUGUACAUGUGAUGCCAUGGGUGUUUUUCUCUCUGUUACAGUUUUCAGGUUGGUAGAUUUUGCACAGGCAUCCACCUCAAGCAUCUUCUGAAUGGUACUGGCCAUAUGUGCUUCCUAAUUGAGAGUGUACCCAAUUCCAGUCUGAGGAGCUAUGCUGGUUAUGUGCUUGAUUGCUGCGACAGUGAGCCAGGGGAGAAAAAGUCUGGGUAGAGACUUUCUUAGAUUGCUGUGCAUAAUUUGAGAGAGUCAUGGUGAGUCACUGAAGAGUUUGACAACACUAAGAAAAUGUUUGUAGCAUAAUUCAACGAAGAAGAUACAGAUACGUAGUAAAAAUAUAUUUAGACUUAUCUGAAAAUUUCAUCUGUGUGAAUAAAAUAUCAUUUUGUUUAAUGUGCUUAUAUCCAGUAUUUCAGAUAUCAGAUUCCUAUUCAUUAGGAUUACUUCUGACUGAAAAAAAUACAUUAUCUCAACACUAUAAAAAUAAACGAACAAGCCCUAUUGUGUUCUUCUAACCUUAUGCUGCUUGUGUACUGAUGUAGAGAACAGUAGUUAUGCAACAGAAUUACAGUAGCAGAGUUCUCCAUAUUACGAACAUCAUAGCUUCUGAAAGGGUAAUAAGAGAGGAAAACUGAUAUCUGCAUCUCUUCCAUGAAGAUGACUGAGGUUACUGAGGGACAAUGACUUUUUUUCAGAUUCUCCUUUAAAUCAAGAAUCAUAAUAAAGUUCAAUUUUGUGGACUGACUGUCUUUCUUUAAUUCAUUCUUCAACUUGUAUAUCUGUUUACAGAUCUGUAACUUUAACUUCUUAAAAUAAACAGCAUUUUUGAUUUAAAAAAAUUGUUUAGUUGCAAAAGAUUGUCCUUGUGGUAUUCAUUCAG